CGUUCAAGAUACCGGAGGAUGUUGUUGUCAUAAUGUGCGGGAAUAGAACGAUUAUUCAUUACCAGCCCUAGUUUUGGGAAAUGUGCCCUUUUAUCCUUGUAUGCAUGACAGUAGUACAAACAUGAAUAACAUUGCUGCUUUUGGUGUUCAGGCAAGCACAUCUGUUCAUGGUGCUAGGCUAGCAUGCCAGACGGACCCACCAAAGAUGCGCACACAUGGAACACAGCUUUCUAUGAAAACACUGCGACCUCACUACAAAAGUACAGGCACACAGAAAACUGUGCUGCACUGAUGUCGGUGUUGGGACCUCAGCUGUAAGAGACCUUGCUUGGAGGAGGGAGAGGACAAGAUGUGACAUUACGUGGAUAACCUGUUGGACCUCAUCCUUCACGAGGUUUUUCAGGACCCGGCCCCAUAUGUGAAUGAGGUGCUGAAGAUCUCAAAACCUGAGGAUCUCUCUGCCUAGUAUGAGAAACCUGACAAGCAGGAAGUUAUAGCCAGCUAUGUGUCGAGUUUCAAUCAAGGGCAGGUCUGAACCCUGUAUAACUUCCCUGAGCAUCAGGGAACACUCUGCGUAUCUGGAGCACCGAGCAGGAGGGCAGGACCACCCUGAUUCUCCGGCCCAGAUAGCCUCAACACCAGCUCACAAAGCUUCUGUACGCCAAAUACCUGUAACGGCUGAGCAAAGUUCACAUUGUAUUUAGAGAAUAAAAGGUGACACACAAAUAUAAAGUGUUCCUUUGUUUACAGUAUAGCUACUGAUGGCACAAAUUGUAUUUUUGUAAUGAAUGUAUUUAUUAUACUUGGUAUUUUUAGUAUUUAUUACCUCUGUCCCAGCCAGUACAUUUAAUAACUAUGAUUAAAAAGCUCUGUGGCAAUCUUUCUAGCAAUCUUUCUGACAAUAAAAGUUUAUAGAAACAGUUGUGUGCUUUUAAUGUUUGAUAUGUAACAUGUCAACAAUUGACACGUGUAAGAUGAGCAGUUAGCAAAGUAAUACAGAGGGAAGAGUAAUUUAUGUAUUUUAUUCCUCAGUCAUAAUUUUAUUGCAGAAAUGACUGAUAUCUCAUGCAUAAAAAAAGAAAGAAAUUACUGCUCUAUUCCUUUUAGACAUAAAGGCCCAUAAUCUGCCCUAUAGAUGUUGAAGAACACAUUCAAACAGGCUAAUUAA